rnacentral:rRNA from 1 species
UACGUAGGGGGCAAGCGUUGUCCGGAUUUAUUGGGCGUAAAGAGCGUGUAGGCGGCCUGACAAGUCUGCUGUGAAAACUCGAGGCUCAACCUCGAGAUGUCGGCGGAAACUGUCUGGCUAGAGUCCGGAAGAGGAGAGUGGAAUUCCUGGUGUAGCGGUGAAAUGCGUAGAUAUCUGGAGGAACACCGGUGGCGAAGGCGGCAUCCUGGACCGGUAUUGACGCUGAGGCGCGAAAGCUAGGGGAGCAAACGGG